rnacentral:rRNA from 1 species
AUUGAACGCUGGCGGCAGGCUUUACACAUGCAAGUCGAACGAGUGGCGGCCGGGUGAGUAACGCCUGGGAAACUGCCUGAUGGUGGGGGAUAACUACUCGAAACGGCAGCUAAUACCGCAUACUCUUGUAUCUGCCCAGAUGUGAUUAGCUAGUGGGUGGGGUAACGGCACACCUAGGAGACGAUCCCUAGCUGGUCUGAGAGGAUGAUCAGCCACACUGGAACUGAGACACGGGCCAGACUCCUACGGGAGGCAGCAGUGGUGAAUAUUGCAAAAUGGGCGCAAGCCUGAGGCAGCCAGGCCGCGGGGAUGAAGAAGGCCUUCGGGUUGUAAAGUACUUUCGGCAGGGAAGCGUUAACCGCAGAAGAAGCACCGGCUAACUACGUGCCAGCAGCCGCGGUAAUAC